CAGGCAACGACCCGAAGGGCGAAGCGCGCAGCGCUGAGUCAUCCUUUCCCCACCACCA
rnacentral:sRNA from 1 species